CGACAUAAUGCAACUAGCACAAUCUAUAGAUGAGGAGAAGAUCCUAAGGCCAUCGGGAGAAGGGUUGUUAAGGAACUAGGCAAAUUGACCCCGUAACUUCGGGAGAAGGGGUGCCUACGAGAGUAGGCCGCAGAGAAUCGGCCCAAGCAACUGUUUACCAAAAACACAGGUCUCUGCUAAAUCGAAAGAUGACGUAUAGGGGCUGACGCCUGCCCGGUGCUGGAAGGUUAAGAGGAGGACUUAGCGGAAACGCGAAGGCCCGAAUUGAAGCCCCAGUAAACGGCGGCCGUAACGAUAACGGUCCUAAGGUAGCGAAAUUCCUUGUCAGGUAAGUUCUGACCCGCACGAAAGGCGUAAUGAUUUGGGCACUGUCUCAACAGCCCGCCCGGCGAAAUUGUAGUACCGGUGAAGAUGCCGGUUACCCGCAACUAGACGGAAAGACCCCAUGGAGCUUUACUGCAGCUUAAUACUGAGAUUCGGUAAAUCAUGUACAGGAUAGGUGGGAGACUAAGAAGCCAGGCCGUCAGGUUUGGUGGAGUCACCCUUGGGAUACCACCCUUGGUUUGCUGGGUUUCUAACCUGCGGCCCUGAAUCGGGUCGGGGGACACUGUUAGGCGGGCAGUUUGACUGGGGCGGUCGCCUCCUAAAAUGUAACGGAGGCGCUCAAAGGUUGGCUCAGCAUGGAUGGAAACCAUGCAAUGAGUGUAAACGUAUAAGCCAGCCUGACUGCGAGACCGACGGGUCGAGCAGAGACGAAAGUCGGAGUUAGUGAUCCGGUGGUAUGUGAGUGGAAAUGCCAUCGCUCAACGGAUAAAAGCUACCCUGGGAUAACAGGCUGAUCUCCCCCAAGCGUCCACAGCGACGGGGAGGUUUGGCACCUCGAUGUCGGCUCGUCGCAUCCUGGGGCUGGAUUAGGUCCCAAGGGUUUGGCUGUUCGCCAAUUAAAGCGGCACGCGAGCUGGGUUCAGAACGUCGUGAGACAGUUCGGUCCCUAUCUGUUGCGGGCGUAGGAGAUUUGAAGGGAGCUGACCUUAGUACGAGAGGACCGGGUUGGACGUACCUCUGGUGUACCAGUUGUUCUGCCAAGGGCAUGGCUGGGUAGCUACGUACGGACGAGAUAAACGCUGAAGGCAUCUAAGCGUGAAACUCUCCUUGAGAUAAGAUCUCCACUGAGGCUCGACGUAGACUAUGUCGUUGAUAGGUCAGAGGUGAAAGUGCAGCAAUGCAUGCAGCUGACUGAUACUAAUAAGCCGAAAGCUUGAUC
rnacentral:rRNA from 1 species